CAGAGUGCUGUCUCAGCUGAGUGAGUACGUGCACGUCCUCCGCUGUAGAGUCACUCGAUUGGAAGUGAAUUCUACUAUCGGGGCUUCUGAAAAUUGGUGCUGUAAAGGCUAACCGGGUCCAUGUUAUACCGGAACAGUGAAAAGAUCGGUAGGUGGCCUGCUGCGUGGCGCCAUGGUCUUCCAUUCAGUUUCGUGGAGGACUAGUACCCUGUUGGCAAUCACCUUGCUGUUUUCAAGGAAUGUCUUUGCGAGAAAGGCCACCGGAAAGUCUGCGACUCGAUACACCUUCGAUUUCGUUUACCUACAACCGUGUUCAACGAUCCCAGAAGCUGCCUUGAAGUACAUCAACUACACUCGAGAAAUGUCGUCUGACGGCUCAACGUCUAUUAGCGGUGUGGGAGACUUGGCUCGGCCAGCUCAGCGACUAAUUGAACUACUCGGAGUGGCCCACAGGUGUCGUGAUGCCGUGUCAGCCAAUACAUGCGAGUAUUUCACUAAAUACGUCCACAACGGGGACGCCUGUGGCUUUAUAAACUCACCCCUGAUGCCCUGGGCAAGUCUAAUGUCCAAGUUCGAGCCUCCAUUCAAGUGUCCAGUUCAAGCAGGUCGAUAUCUCUUAUCCAACGGAACGAUCGACGUGGAUGGCAUUGCACGAAUGUUUGGCGUGUCACCGAACAAUGAUGUGUGGAAGUUCACUGUGUCGAUAAAAGACGAAAAGCGAGCCCCGUUUAUGUGCUUGGAUUCUGCAGUUCGAAUUGUGAAGUACGCAAGCAGAGGCUGACGUCGUUGGCAACUUACUGCUAUGAAAACGCCGACUACUUAACAUGCCUUUCCUCCAGGUAGCGGAUGACCUCGUCCUGGGCUGGCCGCGGAUCUGGUGCAGGUUAAUCACGCGACGCAUGGAGUUCCUCUCUGGAAGCCGGGCGCGUACCUCUGCGGGUCCGUGACGGCCCCGACGGCAGUACAGUACGUAGGAGCUGGUGAUGCAGGGACGUAGUCUACCAACUCCCCAACGGUAUCGCAGCUGUAAUAUGUGUGGUGAACAUACUCGCUGCGGGGGGUCGUUCGGAUGCUCCUCGCCAGCCCGCUGCUUCACUCC